rnacentral:rRNA from 1 species
UAAGACGAACCGUGCGAACGUUGUUCGGAAUCACUGGGCUUAAAGGGCGCGUAGGCGGGCCGGCGAGUCCGGGGUGAAAGCCCCCAGCUCAACUGGGGAAGCGCCUCGGAUACUGCCGGCCUCGAGGGGGGUAGGGGCGUGCGGAACUUCCGGUGGAGCGGUGAAAUGCGUAGAUAUCGGAAGGAACACCGGUGGCGAAAGCGGCGCGCUGGACCCCUUCUGACGCUGAGGCGCGAAAGCCAGGGGAGCAAACGGGAUUAGAUACCCCGGUAGUCCUGGCCCUAAACGUUGGGCACUAGGUUGUGGGCUUACAUGGGCUCACAGCCGGAGCAAAAGUGUUAAGUGCCCCGCCUGGGGAGUAUGGUCGCAAGGCUG